UCUCUCAGUAGGAGCCGGACAAGGACCCGAGUCAAGAGCCUGUUCUUCCAGCCCUCCCGAAAUGCUUUCUCAAAUGAGAAUUAAGCAAAGAGAUUCAACUCAGCCUAUCUGGAGAAAACUGUGAGCAUUCAGCGUGCAAAUUAAUACACAGUGACAGCAUGUACAGACUCUUGGCCAUUGUGGGGAAAACACAGACACCACAGAUUCCAGACCCUAAGAUCUUCACGAAUUAUGUCUCCAGAGAGAAGCUCACUAAAUCCCCAAUUCUUCAUGAAUUCACAAUAUCAUGAAGAAAGUCUGACGUCUUGUGCCAGAUGCAACAGUCAAGGCAGAAAACCAAGAUCAUCUUCCCAAGGUCUGAGCUACCGAGUAUCAGAGCCAGAAGAGGAGCCAGGCAGGCAUGGUUCCAAGGUCGCUUCCCUGUGAGACUCCACCUUUCUACUUCACUGACCAAUGAUCCGGGAGGGAAGUGCCUGUGAUGAAGAGUGGCCCAUUCCUUGUUCAGAGCUUCAGUGUGGACAUUGCUGUCACUCCCCUGUUAGGGUUGUCACAUAGGGACUUCAGUGGGGAAGAGCAUGUCCCACAUUUACUUCCUCUUCCUAUGUUGACAGGAACAUAAAAGAGUUAACAGAGCAGUGAGUUCAUUCUCACCAGGUCUCUGCAGGCUGAAAGGCUGUGAGCCAGG
rnacentral:lncRNA from 1 species